rnacentral:rRNA from 1 species
GAUGAACGCUGACAGAAUGCGUAACACAUGCAAGUCUACUUGAUUCUACUUCGGUAGUUGAUGGUGGCGGACGGGUGAGUAACGCGUAAAGAAUCUGCCCUUUAGUUUGGGAUAACCUUUGGAAACGAAGGCUAAUACCGGAUAUUAUGGAGACGUCGCAUGGCGACUCCAUGAAAGCUAUAUGCGCUAGAGGAGGACUUUGCGUCCCAUUAGUUAGUUGGUGGGGUAAUGGCUCACCAAGACCGCGAUGGGUAGCCGGCCUGAGAGGGUGAUCGGCCACAAGGGAACUGAGACACGGUCCUUACUCCUACGGGAGGCAGCAGUGGGGAAUAUUGGACAAUGGGCCACAAGCCUGAUCCAGCAAUUCUGUGUGCACGAUGAAGGUCUUCGGAUUGUAAAGUGCUUUCAGUAGGGAAGAAAAAAAUGACGGUACCUACAGAAGAAGCGACGGCUAAAUAUGUGCCAGCAGCCGCCGUAACAC